GGGUUGUGAGGUUAAGCGACUAAGCGUACACGGUGGAUGCCCUGGCAGUCAGAGGCGAUGAAGGACGUGCUAAUCUGCGAUAAGCGUCGGUAAGGUGAUAUGAACCGUUAUAACCGGCGAUUUCCGAAUGGGGAAACCCAGUGUGAUUCGUCACACUAUCAUUAACUGAAUCCAUAGGUUAAUGAGGCGAACCGGGGGAACUGAAACAUCUAAGUACCCCGAGGAAAAGAAAUCAACCGAGAUUCCCCCAGUAGCGGCGAGCGAACGGGGAGCAGCCCAGAGCCUGAAUCAGUGUGUGUGUUAGUGGAAGCGUCUGGAAAGGCGCGCGAUACAGGGUGACAGCCCCGUACACAAAAAUGCACAUGCUGUGAGCUCGAUGAGUAGGGCGGGACACGUGGUAUCCUGUCUGAAUAUGGGGGGACCAUCCUCCAAGGCUAAAUACUCCUGACUGACCGAUAGUGAACCAGUACCGUGAGGGAAAGGCGAAAAGAACCCCGGCGAGGGGAGUGAAAAAGAACCUGAAACCGUGUACGUACAAGCAGUGGGAGCACGCUUCGGCGUGUGACUGCGUACCUUUUGUAUAAUGGGUCAGCGACUUAUAUUCUGUAGCAAGGUUAACCGAAUAGGGGAGCCGAAGGGAAACCGAGUCUUAACUGGGCGUUAAGUUGCAGGGUAUAGACCCGAAACCCGGUGAUCUAGCCAUGGGCAGGUUGAAGGUUGGGUAACACUAACUGGAGGACCGAACCGACUAAUGUUGAAAAAUUAGCGGAUGACUUGUGGCUGGGGGUGAAAGGCCAAUCAAACCGGGAGAUAGCUGGUUCUCCCCGAAAGCUAUUUAGGUAGCGCCUCGUGAAUUCAUCUCCGGGGGUAGAGCACUGUUUCGGCAAGGGGGUCAUCCCGACUUACCAACCCGAUGCAAACUGCGAAUACCGGAGAAUGUUAUCACGGGAGACACACGGCGGGUGCUAACGUCCGUCGUGAAGAGGGAAACAACCCAGACCGCCAGCUAAGGUCCCAAAGUCAUGGUUAAGUGGGAAACGAUGUGGGAAGGCCCAGACAGCCAGGAUGUUGGCUUAGAAGCAGCCAUCAUUUAAAGAAAGCGUAAUAGCUCACUGGUCGAGUCGGCCUGCGCGGAAGAUGUAACGGGGCUAAACCAUGCACCGAAGCUGCGGCAGCGACGCUGAUGCGUUGUUGGGUAGGGGAGCGUUCUGUAAGCCUGUGAAGGUGUGCUGUGAGGCAUGCUGGAGGUAUCAGAAGUGCGAAUGCUGACAUAAGUAACGAUAAAGCGGGUGAAAAGCCCGCUCGCCGGAAGACCAAGGGUUCCUGUCCAACGUUAAUCGGGGCAGGGUGAGUCGACCCCUAAGGCGAGGCCGAAAGGCGUAGUCGAUGGGAAACAGGUUAAUAUUCCUGUACUUGGUGUUACUGCGAAGGGGGGACGGAGAAGGCUAUGUUGGCCGGGCGACGGUUGUCCCGGUUUAAGCGUGUAGGCUGGUUUUCCAGGCAAAUCCGGAAAAUCAAGGCUGAGGCGUGAUGACGAGGCACUACGGUGCUGAAGCAACAAAUGCCCUGCUUCCAGGAAAAGCCUCUAAGCAUCAGGUAACAUCAAAUCGUACCCCAAACCGACACAGGUGGUCAGGUAGAGAAUACCAAGGCGCUUGAGAGAACUCGGGUGAAGGAACUAGGCAAAAUGGUGCCGUAACUUCGGGAGAAGGCACGCUGAUAUGUAGGUGAAGUCCCUCGCGGAUGGAGCUGAAAUCAGUCGAAGAUACCAGCUGGCUGCAACUGUUUAUUAAAAACACAGCACUGUGCAAACACGAAAGUGGACGUAUACGGUGUGACGCCUGCCCGGUGCCGGAAGGUUAAUUGAUGGGGUCAGCGCAAGCGAAGCUCUUGAUCGAAGCCCCGGUAAACGGCGGCCGUAACUAUAACGGUCCUAAGGUAGCGAAAUUCCUUGUCGGGUAAGUUCCGACCUGCACGAAUGGCGUAAUGAUGGCCAGGCUGUCUCCACCCGAGACUCAGUGAAAUUGAACUCGCUGUGAAGAUGCAGUGUACCCGCGGCAAGACGGAAAGACCCCGUGAACCUUUACUAUAGCUUGACACUGAACAUUGAGCCUUGAUGUGUAGGAUAGGUGGGAGGCUUUGAAGUGUGGACGCCAGUCUGCAUGGAGCCGACCUUGAAAUACCACCCUUUAAUGUUUGAUGUUCUAACGUGGACCCGUGAUCCGGGUUGCGGACAGUGUCUGGUGGGUAGUUUGACUGGGGCGGUCUCCUCCUAAAGAGUAACGGAGGAGCACGAAGGUUGGCUAAUCCUGGUCGGACAUCAGGAGGUUAGUGCAAUGGCAUAAGCCAGCUUGACUGCGAGCGUGACGGCGCGAGCAGGUGCGAAAGCAGGUCAUAGUGAUCCGGUGGUUCUGAAUGGAAGGGCCAUCGCUCAACGGAUAAAAGGUACUCCGGGGAUAACAGGCUGAUACCGCCCAAGAGUUCAUAUCGACGGCGGUGUUUGGCACCUCGAUGUCGGCUCAUCACAUCCUGGGGCUGAAGUAGGUCCCAAGGGUAUGGCUGUUCGCCAUUUAAAGUGGUACGCGAGCUGGGUUUAGAACGUCGUGAGACAGUUCGGUCCCUAUCUGCCGUGGGCGCUGGAGAACUGAGGGGGGCUGCUCCUAGUACGAGAGGACCGGAGUGGACGCAUCACUGGUGUUCGGGUUGUCAUGCCAAUGGCACUGCCCGGUAGCUAAAUGCGGAAGAGAUAAGUGCUGAAAGCAUCUAAGCACGAAACUUGCCCCGAGAUGAGUUCUCCCUGACUCCUUGAGAGUCCUGAAGGAACGUUGAAGACGACGACGUUGAUAGGCCGGGUGUGUAAGCGCAGCGAUGCGUUGAGCUAACCGGUACUAAUGAACCGUGAGGCUUAACCUUACAACGCCGAAG
rnacentral:rRNA from 1 species